UUCUCUUCUUUGUUCUUGAUGUCUCUGUCCUUGGUACUCAAUGGUAACAAAAAAGAGGCAGCUCCACUAGUCCGAUCAGGUAGUUCUGGUAAUUUCUUGCUUAUAAAGAAUACCACUAAAUUAACAGUAUACCAUGCAACAACAACAUCAACUGUAUAAUGUUUGCGGGAUGCUAUAAUUAAUAGGCUCUGAACCACAGCAAUCAACCAACCUAACUGCUUUAUAAACCUUUGUGUACCAUACUUCUGAUAUGUGAGAACAAAAACAAGGGUAAAUAUCAUGUGUGAUGAAAAAAU
rnacentral:misc_RNA from 1 species